AACGAACGCUGGCGGCAGGCUUAACACAUGCAAGUCGAACGCCCCGCAAGGGGAGUGGCAGACGGGUGAGUAACGCGUGGGAACGUGCCCUUCGCUUCGGAAUAGCCCCGGGAAACUGGGAGUAAUACCGAAUACGCCGUAUUGGGAAAGAUUUAUCGGCGAAGGAUCGGCCCGCGUUAGAUUAGCUAGUUGGCGGUGUAAUGGACCACCAAGGCUACGAUCUAUAGCUGGUCUGAGAGGAUGAUCAGCCACACUGGGACUGAGACACGGCCCAGACUCCUACGGGAGGCAGCAGUGGGGAAUCUUGGACAAUGGGCGCAAGCCUGAUCCAGCCAUGCCGCGUGAGUGAAGAAGGCCUUAGGGUUGUAAAACUCUUUCGCCGGAGAAGAUAAUGACGGUAUCCGGAGAAGAAGCCCCGGCUAACUUCGUGCCAGCAGCCGCCGUAACAC
rnacentral:rRNA from 1 species